rnacentral:rRNA from 1 species
AUGGUGACCAAUACUGUAAUUGCUAGGAAAUAUUUUAGACAAAUCAGAGACAACCCAACAUGGAGAGUGGAGAAAAUGCAAGAAGCUAUACUAGAAGAUUUGCUAGCAGAUGUGAACAUAUGCAAAUGCAAGAGGGUAAAGAAGCUUGCCAUGGAAAAGGUCAUAGAUUCAACUAAUGGUGAGUAUUCCAGAGUAUUUGACUACGACCUUGAGUUACUUUGGAGCAAUCCUGGCAGUACUAUUGCAGUCACAUUAGACCCUAAAGUACAUGACAGGAAUGUCUUUGAGAGGAUGUAUGUCUGUCUAGAUGGCUGCAAGAAAGGUUUUAUGGAUGGAUGCAGAAGAGUUGUUGGGUUAGAUGGUUGUUUUCUGAAGGGGCCAGUGCAUGGACAAAUUCUUUCUUCCAUUAGGAGAGAUGCCAACAACCAUACGUACCCAAUUGCAUGGGCUACUUUUGAAGUUGAGAGUUAUGACGGUUGGUACUAG